rnacentral:lncRNA from 1 species
UCCUGCUGGAGGUUGGGGGCGCGGGGAUAAGCCGGAAGUGGCGUAGCGAAGCCAGCGGGAGGUCCACUAAGCUGCGCUAGGCUUGGCCGGGUCGUGGUGGCUGGAGGCGAGAAGGAAAAUGGCAGUUUCUGAUGGGAGUGGCCCUAGCCCACUACAGCGAGACACUCCGGGGUUGGUUGCGGGGAGAUACAUUCCGGGGUUACCCGGGCGAGUUGAGGCCUGCAGGGAGGAUGGCCACAGCCGUUGGAUCUGAACGGAGGGUUCCGGGGUCGCUGAGCGGCGCGGGCCGAAGUCCUUUGAAGUCCUGGUGGCGUCCCUGGGGCGCCGGAAGAAGCCAGUGGGCAGUCUGGGAAGAGGAUUGCUUUCUACCUCCUGAUGCUGGCGCCUGGAGUCGCCACCUGUGUAGCCCUGCGGGGUUAUAUGACAGAUUUGCAAUACCUUCGGGAAGGCACCACACCUUCUAAAUGCUCUUUUGAAAAUAUACUAUUUUAGAGAAAAGGCAGAAACAAAAACUACUGUACGUAUGUACUCACCAUCCAGCUGGGGAAAUAAAUCAUUAUGUAAGUAAGUGGAGUCCUUUGUCAGCUCCUGUUCCCCAGGGGCCCUUGGCUUAUAAUGACCACUCUUCCAGACACCUUUAAGUUUUGAUUUUUAAUUACAUAUAUAGAACUGUUUUGCCCAAUUUUAGCAGUCAGCAAUUUAUUUGUCCUUUACAGCCAGCGUAUUUACUUAGUGUUAUUUUUAAGAUUUGUCAACAUUAUGUAGCUCUAGUUCAUUCAUAACAGCUGAACAUAUUUAGUUAUAUUAAUAUAUCAACAUUCAUUUUUUUUUUUGUAUCCCCAAUGCCCAGAACUUUAGAUGUACUUAACUAUUAAUUGCGUUAGGUAAAUGCUAUAACUUUUGAGCUAAAUCAUAA